rnacentral:rRNA from 1 species
AACAUGUCUUGAAGAAAUUAAUUUUAAGUCUGACCUGCUCCAUGAUUUUUAAAUAGCUGCAGAAUUUUAACUGUACAAAGGUAGCAUAAUCAAUAGUUUUUUAAUUAAAAGCUGGAAUGAAUGGUUUGAUAAGGUUGAUAUUGUCUCAAUUUUAAUAGAAUUAGAAUUUUUUUUUUAGUAAAAAAACUAAAUUGGAUUUAAAAGACGAGAAGACCCUAUAGAUUUUUAUAUUUUAUAUUAUAAAUAUUUAAAUUUAAUUAAAUAAAUUAUAGUAAAAUGAUAUUAAAUUGGGGUAAUUAUUAAAUUAAAAAAAUUUUAAUUUUAAAAAACAAAAAUUAUUGGUUUUUUGAUCUUAAUUAUUUAAAUUAAAAGAAUAAAAUACCUUAGGGAUAACAGCGUAAUUUUUUUUGAGAGAUCUAAUUGAGAAAAAAGUUUGCGACCUCGAUGUUGAAUUAAGAUAAAAUUUUAAUGAAGAAGUUAAAAAUUUUUGGUCUGUUCGACCAUUAAAAUCUUACRUGAUC